UUCCUCUCGGCCGGUGAGAGUGUACACUCUCAUUGACCAAGAGGGAUUCCUCCCGGCCGGUGAGAGUGUACAGUCUCAUUGACCGAGAGGGA
rnacentral:miRNA from 1 species